rnacentral:lncRNA from 1 species
CCCAAAUGACAGAACUGCCAUCAAAUGACCACACUGGGCAGCAUAGCGACCUGAGGUCCCCCCUGGAGAGAUGCUGAUGCUGGACCCACAGCUGGCAGCCAUCAACGGGCAGUGUUCCAAACAAGGUACAAUUUCAGAGGUGACUUCAGUAACACAAAUGCAUCACCCGUGCUGCUUUUCAUUUUGCUUGGAAUGGCUAUGAUUGAAGUUACAUCAGAGGGCUUUUGCAGGCAGGAGUUGGAUCUUCACAGGAGGGAACCGCUGACUGAUGGCUUCCUUGCUAGUGCUGAGCAGGGGAUGGAGUCAGGAUCAGGAUGGAAGGACCUCACUCACCUUCAUGUUGCUCUUGCUGCUGUGAUUCUGCAGCUUGAGCUUCGAAGACAUGAAAAAGGCACUUGCACCUACAGUCAUGCUCUCCUUGAAGUAUCUCAUCAAUGGUUUUGCUUUCGGCAUACAAAGCGUGAGGGAUAUAAAUCAAAAGUGAUGAGAGGAGUGUGUGAAGCAGGCUAAUUCAUCACCAUUACUGGAGGAACUAAUAAAGCCCUCAGCAGCAGUCAUCUGCUGAGGGGUCCGGUGGGCUGACUGCACCUAUGGGACCCUUGACCUCAGCCCAAUGCUUGGCUAUAAAGAGAUAAAGCAUCUCAGCAGGAGACUCCAAGUUUGGCUGUGAGACCUCAGCCCGUAAGAGUUCCUCGGACUGACGUGGGUGGAGAGGCUGCGGUGAACGCUGAGGACACAGCGGAGGUUUUUUGGGGUCCCAGAAAUUUGGCGUGAGUGCCUCGAGCCGGGUCUGUUUCGUUUUAAAAGAGAACGUGAGCUGUUGGGCCUGGCGCCGUGGGAUGCUGACAGCACCUGGCAGAAGGGC